CGCGGCCUCCCCGCGGCAGACAGCCUGGGCGGCAGGACGCGGAGCUCCCGGGUCACAACCCGCCGUCCCGCCGCUCUCCCUCGCGCCGCCCCGCCCCGAGCGGCCAUGCUGGGGGCGAGCAUCCGCGGGCCCGGUUACCGCGGCAACAAGCAGACGCCGUCCCGCUCCUGAAGGACCUGCCCCCGCCCCGCCAGGUACCACCAUCAAGAGCCUCAAGACCUCCAGCUGAAACGGCCACACAGGUUGAGUCAAGAUGCCGUGUUCUUGCGUCUCUUCAUCUCUCAAAGUCACAUGUAAAACAGGGCAAUAAACCGGAUUCUUUUUUAAGAUGCCAUCACAAACGAUCCGCUCACCCAGGAGCUGGUGACGAGGCUGGAAACCCCGAUGCUGCUGCUAGAGAAAGGUUUUCCUGAACCCCAACAUGCCGCUUACAGGAAAAAUCCCACAUAUAAACAGGAUUUAAAAUUGUAAUGCCUGGGAACAAUGCGAAAUGCCAAACAAGUUAUUUCAUUCCCAAGGAAGCCUCGAGGUCUUCUGUUCAUAACACAGCUCGUAUUCUCAGAGCAAACCUCUUUCAGCUGGGACCCUGACUCAGAAAAACAGAUAAAACUCUCGUAACAUGCGAAUUCCAUCAAGAAGCCGUGAUCUCGAGUACCCUUUCCAUUGUUUUUUACACCCCUAUUUUUCUCCUACUUUAAUUAAAGCCAAAGCAAGUGUGUUUAUGUCACAUAGUCCUUUUUGCAGUCCUACUGAUGUCUCUCCAAGUCCAAGCACUGACUGCUAAUUAUUUUAAGAGACCACAGGUCAAGAAGGGAGAAUGAAGGCAGAAGAAAACCAGUUACGCAGAUCUCGACUUGAACGCUGACAAAGACACUGAGUUGAAUCCAUGUAAAGCAACUAGAAAAUACCGCUGUUGUUUGGAAGCAAAGACACGAAGGAGCCUGAAGGCUUCCUUGUACUGUACAGCAAGAAGUCUGGAGUAUCUGUAUCUCAGAAAAAAAAAAGGAUUAAUCAGUGCAAAUUUGCUGUAUAAAUGCUUUUAAGCUACGCUCAGAUUUGUGCAUGAACCUUCCAAAUUCUUGUCUGGUUAACACAUUUCCUAACUUCUCAAUUCCACACGAAAUCUAUCACUCGAUAAAUUACGAUUAUUUUUACUGUGUGUGAUGAGAGGGUAUAAUUUUGCAAGUUUUAAGGCACUUAAUAUCCCCUGUGCUGCUGCUAACACUGUGCUGGUUAUUGUCCAGCCCUGGAAACCUGAGCCGCACACGUGGCUGUGCUCACCACGCUCCAAGCUGCUCCUUAAAAACAACAUCCUAACUGCAUCAAUUAGAAGAUAAAUCAUUAAACGUGAGCUAUACAUGACACUAUAAGCAAUAACCAGCCUGAGUGAAGAGUAUGUAGCAUAUUUCUCAUUAUCCCUAAACAAAAUUCCUUACUAAGCAGCCGCCGUACUCACAGAACAUUGCAUUCCUUCCUUAGCCAGCCAAGAUUAAUAACUUCUGAGUCAGACUUAGGCCUGGAUUCUGGGAAUGAGGAAACAAAGAGCUUGCGGUUGCUCAUUUUGCACAAACUGGUUCUUUUCAGAGUAGCGGUUUUCACCACGGGGCGCAAGGAAAGCAGCUGCCAGCUGCCAUUUGCUUCAAAAAGGCGACGUCCACGGGUCCCGGUCCAUACACGGCAAACGGGUCCUGCGGCUCUGAGGAGCCCCACCUUCGAUACACUACAGCGUUUCCUUUUUUCCCGAGUAUUUAACACUGAAUUCUCACCUUCGCUGUGUUGGGUCUGAGUGGUGAUCUAACAGUGCAGGCAAAAAUUGAAGGGAUUGGCCUCUUAGGGCAGGAUUCUGCUCAUUUCACAUCAGAUGCGACGUAGACGCUGCUUCCCCAACCUUCUGGUUUUUUUUUCAAGAGAAAAGGACCCUUUAGGUCAGCAUCCAUCUGACCCAGUUCAGACCUAGGAGGUUAUUUCAUGUUAUCCAGAUGAACCCAGCCUGAACCAAACCUCGUGGAACUCUCUAAUGACUCCUUAAGUGGGUGUGCUCAGCUCGAGUUCAGAAGAGCGGAUGAAAGACGGAGCCUCCUCAUCUCCGUGAGAAAGCGCCUUUGGUUACUCCAAACUACUAUUUUUCUCCAAAGGCUGUAUUUAUUUUAAAUUAAAUAAGAAAAAAAAAUCAAGCCCAUUCUGCGCUUCAGUUUAAAAUGAGCAGCGCGAGUUUCACCCAGUGUCCUUUGAAGAAAAACCACGUACAUGAAUUCAGGUCGGGUCACCCUGGGAGCGUUUCAGCUCCAGAACGGGGACGAGUCCGGCGUCGUUCCCCUGCAUUGCGGGUUUGCUCACCAUUAUUUCCACUGCUGUUUGCGAUUAAACGCAGCAACCCCCGCUGCCUCCCCACCAGCUCCUCUCACCUCUGGGGUGCAAAAUGAAAGAGAAAAAUCAUCUGGACCUUCAGACACGUCCUGAGAGCUUCUGCUCCAAGCGCCCGCGCGGCUCUUCACCAAAUAACAGCAAAACUCAACGGUCCCGGCAAACCCGCGGGAAAGCCCAGUGAGAUCCCACCUCUCCCAGUCACACCAGUGUGGGAGGCCUGAGCAGGUGUCAUCGAACACAGGACGCAGGAAGGACAGGAUCCGUGUUUCCCAAAUAAAAGGGACAAAAAAGAAACGGAAGAAAAUAGUUGGGGAAGGAAAUUUUAUUUCCAAGCUUCUAAAAGGAUCUUACAAACCACAGAGAGUAAAAAAAUGCAAAACUAUAUAUAUAUAUUUUAUAUAUAUAUAUAUAUAUAUAUAAUUGACAGGGUCCUCGUAAGCAAUUCUUCACAUUAUUCUAAUGGUGAUAGGAAAUACCACUUAACCAUAUAUGCGUUUUUCCCGUAAUCCUGAUUGCUGCCAACAGCUGAUGAAACUCUUCUCAUACAAAAUUUCCCUUAGAUUGUACAGAUCUCUCUUCUCGAGAGCGAAGGAGACAAGAGAACAAAUUAACCGAGAAGAAAAUCAAACAAAACUAAGAAAGGAAGCGUUCUGAACCGAAGCGUUGAGGGCUGUGUGAAAGCCGGGCGCCAUCCCUCCCGCAUGGUGAUGGAAUCUCCUCCUA